rnacentral:rRNA from 1 species
AUUGAACGCUGGCGGCAUGCUUUACACAUGCAAGUCGAACGGCAGCGCGGGCUUCGGCCUGGCGGCGAGUGGCGAACGGGUGAGUAAUACAUCGGAACGUGCCCAGUAGUGGGGGAUAGCUCGGCGAAAGCCGGAUUAAUACCGCAUACGACCUGAGGGUGAAAGCGGGGGAUCUUCGGACCUCGCGCUAUUGGAGCGGCCGAUGGCAGAUUAGCUAGUUGGUGGGGUAAAGGCCUACCAAGGCGACGAUCUGUAGCUGGUCUGAGAGGACGACCAGCCACACUGGGACUGAGACACGGCCCAGACUCCUACGGGAGGCAGCAGUGGGGAAUUUUGGACAAUGGGCGAAAGCCUGAUCCAGCAAUGCCGCGUGUGUAAUGAAGGCCUUCGGGUUGUAAAGCACUUUUGGCGGGAACGAAAAGGACUGUGCCAAUACCACGGUUCGAUGACGGUACCCGCAGAAUAAGCACCGGCUAACUACGUG